CAGUCUUACCUGCGGGACAAUCAGCUUUUUGAGUGUGAUUAUGUGGAUUGUGAGGAGUUUAAUCACCCUCAUGUUUUGCAUAUUCGUGCUCUUGGGUGUACUUGCCCGUGUGGUAGGUUAACAUCAAUUUCGGACGUCAAUAAAAUGAUUGGAGGAAUGAGCUUUGAUCUCGUAUCGAAGUGUUAUAGUCCUUUGGUAGAUGUAAUGAUC
rnacentral:rRNA from 1 species